rnacentral:lncRNA from 1 species
UGUGUCCUGUAAAAAAAUUAGCUUAUGUCCCCAUGUGGGUAUAUGCAAAUGUGUAUACAAACAUAUCCCCCUAGGUGAGCUAAACACUAUUCUGGAAAUAGUAUCCUCUACCCAAAUCUACUUGGCUAUAUCUGUGGAUAGUGUAUGGUGUGUGUAUUUAUCCAAUUUACAUAAAAGAAAGCUCCUGGCCAAAUCUACCAAAGCGUUUUCCAGGAGGAAGUCUGGUGGGAGGCAGGGAGAGGAAAGACAUUCAUCUCAGUCUUUCACCUGAGCUUUUGUACAAGGCAGGCAAAUUGCCUCCUGACCUCAGGCAGAUGUUUAAGUCUUCACCAACUAAGAAAGCUCUGUUAUUCUGGCCUGGGUGCUUGCUCCAGACUCAGGAACAUCUGGUCAACACAAGCAUCACUGGGCUGGGG